AGACAGCAGCAGCCGCGGGAAUACGAAGGGGGCUAGCGUUGCUCGGAAUGACUGGGCGUAAAGGGCGCGUAGGCGGAUUGUUUAGUUAGGCGUGAAAUUCCUGGGCUUAACCUGGGGACUGCGCUUAAUACAGGAAGUCUAGAGUGAGGAAGAGGGCUGUGGAAUUCCCAGUGUAGAGGUGAAAUUCGUAGAUAUUGGGAAGAACACCGGUGGCGAAGGCGGCAACCUGGUCCUUGACUGACGCUGAGGCGCGAAAGCGUGGGGAGCAAACAGGAUUAGAUACCCCCGUAGUCCCUGUCUCUUAUAC
rnacentral:rRNA from 1 species